CUCUGAGCUGCUAACACUUUCACCUUCAAGAUAACCUGUUCUCAAGACAAAAUACUUCUAUAAACAACCAGGGUUUGGCUGUCUAUGCUGCUGCACGCUGGGAUCGUGCUGUUACGAAGUAUGAUGUGUAAAAAAGCAGAAGCUGUGAGAAGUCUUACUGAGGACUCCCCUUCCUUGACCUGCAAGAUCUGUUUAAGCUGAAACCCUUAACCCAUGCCUGAGCUAUGCUGCAGCUAUGCCGGAAUGCAGCAAUGUAUCUUGCUGAUCUGGACCCCUGGAUUGACUUGAUACUAGUUUCAGCACUGUCAAGCACUGGACUGUUGGUUGACCUGACUGCAGUCACUGGGCCUACUCUGCUUUUUGUGCUCAGGUGUGUGCCCCUCUUCAGCCAGUACAUCACCCCUUCCAGCUUCGCUGUCACCCUUGGCCCCUGCCUGUGGGGCUGUCAUUGCUCACUGCUUUCUGACAAAGAGUUCUCUAGUUUCUGUGGGAACCAGCUAUGUAAGUACUUCCCAAGAUGCCUGCUUUCUAUUCAGUAAACCCUGCCUCGUUUCAGCUGAUAUUAUGACUUGAUUAGACAAUCCAACCUUCAUCAAUCCGUAACAGCAACUGUGUUCAAGAGAUUCCAUAGAACAAUCCAAAGGGGUAUAAUGAAGAGAGACAAUACUGAAAAUUUGAUCAUCUCUUUGGAUUUGUGUUAGAAGUGUCAUAAACUAUAUCUUAAAUGUAAUAAAAACCUAAAAUCAAGCAACCAAAGAAGCCAAUCUAAUAACAAUGGUACACUUACUAUAUCAGAUAUAGUAAGACCAAAUUAGUUGAUUGUAAUGCUACUUAACACAGAAUAGUGUUGAUACAAGUUUGCUUUAAGAACCAAAGUCUAUACACAGCUGGGAAUUUCUUCGUAAGUGUUCAGUAGUUUAGGAAGAAGAGUGGAAAACUGUGGCAGAAGCCUGAGCUUGUCAAUAAAUAAAGCAAAAAAAGUCUUGUAAAGCCGUAAAGUAUUUCUCCUUAAGAGAAUUAAAAUAUGCUGAGGAAAUUAUGUACCCACACAUACUGCAUGGCAAGUUUGAAGUGUUUAGUUACUAGUUAAUUCAAAUUCUGUGCUUUAAUUAUCAGCAUUUCACUCCUAUAAAAACUUCUGACGAACUUCUGCUCAUAAAUUCAGUUUGUUGAAACUCACCCUUCUGGAAAGAAGGCGUUGAUAAUUCUGUCUCCGAGUGGAUUGAUGGCAAGCUCUGGAAUCCGCUGGAAGUCUUCACGGCUAAGGAAAGCAAGAACACAACCAGUCAGCAUAAAGCUGAAGUCAGAUAAAAAGUUGCUUAAAAAAAAUUCACAGUAAAACAUCAGUGGAAUCCUAUUUCUGCAGCAAGACAUUUAGUGAUUUUGAAAAUGCAACUUUUUAAAUCAUGUUUUCUUUAUGACUAAUGACACAAAAUAAAGCAAAAAACAAUGUCAAA